AUUGAACGCUGGCGGAAUGCUUUACACAUGCAAGUCGAACGGCAGCACGGGGGCAACCCUGGUGGCGAGUGGCGAACGGGUGAGUAAUACAUCGGAACGUGCCCAGUCGUGGGGGAUAACGUAGCGAAAGUUACGCUAAUACCGCAUACGAUCUACGGAUGAAAGCGGGGGAACGUAAGGCCUCGCGCGAUUGGGGCGGCCGAGGUCAGAUUAGGUAGUUGGUGAGGUAAAGGCUCACCAAGCCGACGAUCUGUAGCUGGUCUGAGAGGACGACCAGCCACACUGGGACUGGGACACGGCCCAGACUCCUACGGGAGGCAGCAGUGGGGAAUUUUGGACAAUGGGCGCAAGCCUGAUCCAGCCAUUCCGCGUGCAGGACGAAGGCCUUCGGGUUGUAAACUGCUUUUGUACGGAACGAAAAGGCUCUGGUUAAUACCUGGGGCUCAUGACGGUACCGUAAGAAUAAGCACCGGCUAACUACGUGCCAGCAGCCGCCGUAA
rnacentral:rRNA from 1 species